GGAGGAGUGUCAGAGCGGCCGAAUGAGCCCGCUUGGAAAGCGUGUGUACGCGAAAGCGUACCGUGGGUUCGAAUCCCACCUCCUCCGCCA
rnacentral:tRNA from 1 species